AUUGAACGCUGGCGGCAUGCCUUACACAUGCAAGUCGAACGGCAGCACGGGAGCAAUCCUGGUGGCGAGUGGCGAACGGGUGAGUAAUAUAUCGGAACGUGCCCGGUCGUGGGGGAUAACGUAGCGAAAGCUACGCUAAUACCGCAUACGAUCUACGGAUGAAAGCGGGGGGAUCGCAAGACCUCGCGCGAUUGGAGCGGCCGAUAUCAGAUUAGGUAGUUGGUGAGGUAAAGGCUCACCAAGCCGACGAUCUGUAGCUGGGUCUGAGGAGGGACGGACCAGCCACACUGGGACUGAGACACGGCCCAGACUCCUACGGGAGGCAGCAGUGGGGGAAUUUU
rnacentral:rRNA from 1 species